rnacentral:rRNA from 1 species
AACUUUGUUAGCUUUUGUAUAGCUUAGUGCGCUUUACGAAUAAGUGGUGGGCAAGACCGGUGCCAGCAGCCGCGGUAAUACCGGCGCCACAAGUGGAGAUCAUGUUUACUGGGUCUAAAGUGUUCGUAGCAUGUUUGUUAAGUUUCUUGUGAAAGUCCUUUUGCUUAACUGAGGAUUUGCAAGAAAUACUGGCAAACUUGAGACCGGAAGAGGUAAGAAGUAUUAAUUGGGUAGCGGUAAAAUGUUAUAAUCCUUUUAAGACUAACUAAGGCGAAGGCAUCUUACUUGGACGGAUCUGACUGUGAGGAACGAGAGCUGGGGGAGCGAACCGGAUUAGAUACCCGGGUAGUCCCAGCCGUAAACGCUGCGGGUUACGCUUAGCCAAAAUCAUGAGUUUUGGCUGGGGGGUAGCGAAGGCAUUAAACCCGCCACCUGGGGAGUACAGCCGCAAGGCCGAAACUUAAAGGAAUUGCCGGGGGAGUACUACAAGGGGUGCGGCGUGCGGUUUAAUUGGAUUUUACACCGAGAACCUUACCAGGGGCGACAGCACAAUGAAGGUCAGAUUAAAGGUUUUACCUAAGGCGCUGAGAGGUGCUGCAUGGCCGCCGUCAGCUCGUGCUGCAAGGUGUCCUCUUAAGUGAGGAAACGAGCAAGACCCAUGCCUAUAAUUACUAUUCAAGUCGAUU